CCUACGGGAGGGCAGCAGUAGGGAAUCUUCCGCAAUGGGCGAAAGCCUGACGGAGCAACGCCGCGUGAGUGAAGAAGGUUUUCGGAUCGUAAAGCUCUGUUGUAAGAGAAGAACGAGUGUGAGAGUGGAAAGUUCACACUGUGACGGUAUCUUACCAGAAAGGGACGGCUAACUACGUGCCAGCAGCCGCGGU
rnacentral:rRNA from 1 species